rnacentral:rRNA from 1 species
AUACGUAGGGUGCAAGCGUUAAUCGGAAUUACUGGGCGUAAAGCGUGCGCAGGCGGUUUUGUAAGACAGAGGUGAAAUCCCCGGGCUCAACCUGGGAACUGCCUUUGUGACUGCAAGGCUAGAGGAAGGCAGAGGGGGAUGGAAUUUCGCCGGUAGCAGUGAAAUGCGUAGAUAUGCGGAGGAACACCGAUGGCGAAGGCAAUCCCCUGGGCCUGUACUGACGCUCAUGCACGAAAGCGUGGGGAGCAAACAGGAUUAGAUACCCUGGUAGUCCACGCCCUAAACGAUGUCAACUGGUUGUUGGGUCUUCAUUGACUCAGUAACGAAGCUAACGCGUGAAGUUGACCGCCUGGGGAGUACGGCCGCAAGGUUGAAACUCAAAUGAAUUGACGGGG